GGCUGGGUCCUGAGCAGUUGUGCUCCAAAGAACCUGUUUGGCUUCUGUGACCCUGUGCUGCCUCCUCUUGGCCCACAGCUGUGCCCCUGAUGACGCCUCCGGGGCCCGAGGGCCGCAGCCUGGGAAGUGCCCAUGUGCAUUCGCGUCCCGUCUGCCCUCCUGUCCUCCGGGUGUCCCUCCGUGUCUGAACUCCCCUCUCUUCUCUCUCCGGGCUGCUCCUCGCUCCCAGCCACGUUUCCUCCUGGUAAAGAUCAACAUGCAACACACCCAGGAGGCACCCCAUCGAGCAAUUAGGAAGCUGGAGAGAAUGGGAAGAUGAAAAUGUUUAUUCAAAAAUCAAUAGAUUUAUCCUAAAAGGGUUAGAGAAGCACAUGAGUAAAGUCUGGUUCCGCUGCAGCCCCGAGUCACUCUGUGGCAAGGAACAGAUAAUAACGACCUGGAUCUUCCCAUCAGCUGAGACAGUAAUUGCACACUUUUCCUGGCCCCAAACAGGUCCAACUUGUAAAUCACGCAGUAAUACAGUAACUAUAAUAAUGAAGAUUCAUUCAACAAACUUGUGUUGGACUCACUGAGCUAGCGGCUGGUCUCUGAGCCACAGAGCUGGAUAUAAAGCUUUGCCCUCAGGGACGCGGACUCGGAUGGAGUGGCUUUCAAGUGCUUCAUCAGUGAUCCAUCAGAAGAAAUGCAGGUUACAUGUGACCAAGAGCACAUUCCUGUAUGGUCUGGAGCAGAAAGUCAUGAAACAAUAUUCACUUUUACUUUGCAUUAUGUACUCUGAUAUUUUCUAUUGUUGACUGUUUUAUUGAAAAAGAAAAAUGGCUGGUUGCAAUCUUGAAAUUGAUUUCACAACCCAUUACUAAUGGACUGUGACCCGAAGUCUGAAAAUUCUGAUCUAAUGUGAGGGCAGAAGGGAAAAGUUGUUCAAGAGAAAGAAGGUGCCCCGUGUUGGGGUAGAGGAGGACCGGGCCCUUCUGGCUGGGAGAUCAGAAACGGCCCCACCGCAGAGGUGGCCCCGAAUGAUGGAGGGACACUUAAGUGGAGAAAGGUUGACUUGGGAAAAGUAAUUGUAUUUGUAAUAGAGGGUAAAUUAUUAUGUUAUUAUUAUUAAUAUAAUAUAAACAGCAUUAUCCUUCUCAAGGAGUUUUCCCUCCCAUAGCUUAUUGGGUCACCUUGAACUUGUGACCAACUUAGAUGAGAUAUAACUACGUUUUUUCAAUGUGGAAAUCGAGUCAGAGAGGUAAAGGAUUUUUCUCAAGGACACACAGCUCCUAGACUUUGGCAGAGCCAACUUUGCACCUGGGUCUGCCUGGACCACAGCCUGUGGAGUCCCAGCAGCAGGAAGCAGCAGGCCGAGCUCUGCUUCACUCCUGGUGAUGGGAGGCUGGGAGCGGCACAGAGAGCAAGUGCCCAGCAUGGACCAGUCUGCUCUCUCCCCCUGCUCUCUCUUCAGCUCUUCCUUUGCUUUCCCACUGCUCCUGUGGGUGCCUCUCUGGCUGAGAUCCUGGCCUCUGAUACUUGGGAGGCCUAUGGGGGUCGUGAGUCCCUCCAAAAGGUCUCAACUGGCCCUUCCAAGUCACAACCAGAAGACCCCUCCUCUGGGGGUCUCUAUCUGGAGGAAUGAACUUGGCCACCCCAAGCAUCCCAUCCCGUGGCACGCAUAACCGUCGCCCUGCUCCACCCCGAAACUUCCCUUGCUCUCUGUGAAUCCAGCCUCCGGAUCUGGAGGCCAGGGUUAAAACUGAGUCUUUCUGUUCUCCAAGUACAAGAUCUGCUCUCCCCAACCACUAGGCCGAACCUCCAGCUUCAUCUGUUUGACUUUCUUUCUCUCAAGGAACUUACAAUUUAAUCACGACUCCUUAAUAGUACAUACAUUCUAAAUUGCAAUCAUUUAUUGCAUCUAGCCUGGGGCUCUUCUGUCUGUUAGAAAUAUCAGGGUUAUUUCCUUCUUUUAAGAGUUUAUGUUAAAAAAAAAACCCAAACUUUACAAAUAAUGUUUGCUGUUUAAUGUUCUCUCCUGAAAUAUCAAUCUGCAAAAAUAGAAAUCCUUUUUUACAAUUCAUCUGAAGGAUAGAGUUCCAGUUUCUUAUAAUGUAAUGAAUGUACUGCAGAUAAUGGUCCAAUAGUGCAAAUGAAAGGCGCGUAUAAUCAAAAUGAUAAUGGAGCGUAUUGUACAGCUUGUAUAAUAAAAUCCAUACCAAUAUGGAAAUCAUAUC